UGCAAGUCGAACGGUAACGCGGGGCAACCUGGCGACGAGUGGCGAACGGGUGAGUAAUACAUCGGAACGUACCCAGUAGUGGGGGAUAGCCCGGCGAAAGCCGGAUUAAUACCGCAUACGACCUACGGGUGAAAGCGGGGGAUCGCAAGACCUCGCGCUAUUGGAGCGGCCGAUGUCAGAUUAGGUAGUUGGUGGGGUAAAGGCCUACCAAGCCGACGAUCUGUAGCUGGUCUGAGAGGACGACCAGCCACACUGGGACUGAGACACGGCCCAGACUCCUACGGGAGGCAGCAGUGGGGAAUUUUGGACAAUGGGCGCAAGCCUGAUCCAGCCAUGCCGCGUGCGGGAUGAAGGCCUUCGGGUUGUAAACCU
rnacentral:rRNA from 1 species